CUGCCACACCCCUCUCUGUGACUGCCUUCAGUGUCUGUGCUUUAAUGUGAUGGAGUCCCAACGGGAUCAAAUUUCAGCUUCAUAGCUAGAGACUAACUUCGCGGUCCCGCAUGGGAGAGCAAGAACAGCCUCCUAGAGCACUCUGCAAGGGCCUCAUUUAUUUCUGUGGUAUCUUCUUGGUCCUUCUCACUGUCCAACUCAACCAGGGGUCUGAUGUCAUCCCUUAUCCAGCCCCAGCUCCUGCCACCACAGAGAAGCUGAGCAGUCAAGCAUGUGUUCAUCGGAUGACAGCAGGACAUGUGACAAGUACCAAGAAACCCUCAGAGACCAGGAAUCCCACGGCCAAAGGCCAGUCCACCAGGAUGAUUCCCGACUCGCAGAAGCUCUUGUGGUGUGAACUGGAGUCACUCAGGAGCCAGCUACAAACUCAGACCAAGGCCUUUGAGUUCCUGAACCACUCGGUGACCAUGUUGGAGAAGGAAAGCUGCCUGCAACAGAUCAAGAUCCAGCAGCUUGAAGAGGCCCAGGAGGAUGAGAUCGCAGAGAAUCUCUCCAACAUCAAGAAGCUGCAGAGAACACAGGUGAAGUGUCGCAAGAUGAAGCAGCAGCAGCAGCAGCAGCAGCAGCAGCAGCAGGGAUAUGAGGCAUCUGCCUGUCCUGAGAGAGAGGAGGCAGUGCUGGGUAGCAAUGACUGGAAGGAUGACCUCCAGAAAGAACUAAGUGACAUAGGGUCUGCUGUCCAUGGGCUGCAGAAUUCCAUCGAUGGUCUUGCCAUGUACUCAGAGGCCCCCUGCAGGACCUCCAGCCUCAGGGAGUAGUACUCCACCAUGUGUGAAUAACACACUCUCUUUGUUCACCCAUCUAUUCGUGGACACAUAGGCUGCUUCCAAGAUUUAGCUGUUAUGAAUUGUGCUGCUAUAAACCUGGGACACAGGGGACACCGGUGCCUGAGCCCUGGGCUCCCUUCCUGGGACACAGAAUCCCACUGGGACCCACCGCCUUUUGGCAAGAGCAGAGCCUUCCCUUCUGCUUGAAGAGCCGGGGACUGCUCUUCCUGAAGAGCCCUCCAGAGAGAAAAUAAACUAGCCGAG